ACGAACGCUGGCGGCGUGGAUAAGACAUGCAAGUCGAACGAGAGAAUUGCUAGCUUGCUAAUAAUUCUCUAGUGGCGCACGGGUGAGUAACACGUGAGUAACCUGCCCCCGAGAGCGGGAUAGCCCUGGGAAACUGGGAUUAAUACCGCAUAGUAUCGAAAGAUUAAAGCAGCAAUGCGCUUGGGGAUGGGCUCGCGGCCUAUUAGUUAGUUGGUGAGGUAACGGCUCACCAAGGCGAUGACGGGUAGCCGGUCUGAGAGGAUGUCCGGCCACACUGGAACUGAGACACGGUCCAGACACCUACGGGUGGCAGCAGUCGAGAAUCAUUCACAAUGGGGGAAACCCUGAUGGUGCGACGCCGCGUGGGGGAAUGAAGGUCUUCGGAUUGUAAACCCCUGUCAUGUGGGAGCAAAUUAAAAAGAUAGUACCACAAGAGGAAGAGACGGCUAACUCUGUGCCAGCAGCCGCGGUAAUACAGAGGUCUCAAGCGUUGUUCGGAAUCACUGGGCGUAAAGCGUGCGUAGGCUGUUUCGUAAGUCGUGUGUGAAAGGCGCGGGCUCAACCCGCGGACGGCACAUGAUACUGCGAGACUAGAGUAAUGGAGGGGGAACCGGAAUUCUCGGUGUAGCAGUGAAAUGCGUAGAUAUCGAGAGGAACACUCGUGGCGAAGGCGGGUUCCUGGACAUUAACUGACGCUGAGGCACGAAGGCCAGGGGAGCGAAAGGGAUUAGAUACCCCUGUAGUCCUGGCAGUAAACGGUGCACGCUUGGUGUGCGGGGAAUCGACCCCCUGCGUGCCGGAGCUAACGCGUUAAGCGUGCCGCCUGGGGAGUACGGUCGCAAGAUUAAAACUCAAAGAAAUUGACGGGGACCCGCACAAGCGGUGGAGUAUGUGGCUUAAUUCGAUGCAACGCGAAGAACCUUACCUGGGCUUGACAUGUAAUGAACAACAUGUGAAAGCAUGCGACUCUUCGGAGGCGUUACACAGGUGCUGCAUGGCCGUCGUCAGCUCGUGUCGUGAGAUGUUUGGUUAAGUCCAGCAACGAGCGCAACCCCUGUUGCCAGUUACCAGCACGUGAAGGUGGGGACUCUGGCGAGACUGCCCAGAUCAACUGGGAGGAAGGUGGGGACGACGUCAGGUCAGUAUGGCCCUUAUGCCCAGGGCUGCACACGUACUACAAUGCCCAGUACAGAGGGGGCCGAAGCCGCGAGGCGGAGGAAAUCCUAAAAACUGGGCCCAGUUCGGACUGUAGGCUGCAACCCGCCUACACGAAGCCGGAAUCGCUAGUAAUGGCGCAUCAGCUACGGCGCCGUGAAUACGUUCCCGGGUCUUGUACACACCGCCCGUCAUAUCAUGGAAGCCGGUCGCACCCGAAGUAUCUGAAGCCAACCGCAAGGAGGCAGGGUCCUAAGGUGAGACUGGUAACUGGGAUG
rnacentral:rRNA from 1 species